AGAUUGAACGCUGGCGGCAGGCCUAACACAUGCAAGUCGAGCGGCAGCACGGGUACUUGUACUUGGUGGCGAGCGGCGGACGGGUGAGGUAAUGCCUAGGAAUCUGCCUGGUAGUGGGGGAUAACGGCUCGGAAACGGACGCUAAUACCGCAUACGUCCUACGGGAGAAAGCAGGGGACCUUCGGGCCUUGCGCUAUCAGAUGAGCCUAGGUCGAUUAGCUAGUUGGUGAAGUAAUGGCUCACCGAAGGCGACGAUCCGUAACUGGUCUGAGAGGAUGAUCAGUCACACUGGAACUGAGACACGGUCCAGACCUCCGUACGGGAGGCAGCAGGUGGGAAUAGUUGGAACAAGUGGGACGAAAGCCUGACUCCAGCCAGUCGCCGUGUGUGUAGGAAG
rnacentral:rRNA from 1 species